UACGGGGGGGGCAAGCGUUGUUCGGAAUUAUUGGGCGUAAAGAGCGUGUAGGCGGCCAGAUAAGUCCGCUGUGAAAUCUCGAGGCUCAACUUCGAGCUGUCGGUGGAAACUAUCUGGCUAGAGUCCGGAAGAGGAGAAUGGAAUUCCUGGUGUAGCGGUGAAAUGCGCAGAUAUCAGGAAGAACACCCGUGGCGAAGGCGGUUCUCUGGGACGGUACUGACGCUGAGGUGCGAAAGCGUGGGGAGCAAACAGG
rnacentral:rRNA from 1 species